UACGAAGGGGGCUAGCGUUGCUCGGAAUCACUGGGCGUAAAAGCGCACGUAGGCGGAUUGUUAAGUCAGGGGUGAAAUCCUGGAGCUCAACUCCAGAACUGCCUUUGAUACUGGCGAUCUUGAGUCCGGGAGAGGUGAGUGGAACUGCGAGUGUAGAGGUGAAAUUCGUAGAUAUUCGCAAGAACACCAGUGGCGAAGGCGGCUCACUGGACAUGUAUUGACGCUGAGGUGCGAAAAGCGUGGG
rnacentral:rRNA from 1 species